rnacentral:lncRNA from 1 species
AUUUAAUAGUAUUAAACUAUAACUACGAAUUAUAGAAAUGUAAAUCAGAAGAAUUUAUAAAGUUUCAUUGCAUAGUAUUCGAGAUAUUUCAUUUUUUGUGUAUAGAUGACGCCACUUUACAAUCAGUAAGCGUACAAUGUGGCGAGACGAAAGAAGCUCUCCACAGGCUUCCCUGUGGAGAGCUUCUGAAGAAGUCAGCUGGAUUGUAGAAACUGGGGAUCGAAUGUCCAGGCCGGACGCCAUGAAAAAUAUUUUCAAAUUACGAGACUCGAGACUCGAAUCUGGGCCCUCCAGAAUGGAAAGUCAAAGCGUUUCCACUCAUAAAUCCUUCCGACAUGUAAUAUAUGUAUUAAUUAUAUUUGUACCUAUUAAUAUCUAAUUUUUUUCAGGACCUUCAGUUAAAUGCGAGGCCAUAGGACUUCCUCACUCAGUCUGCAAAUUUUAUUGCUUUAAAGUUGCAGGAGUAUCAAAGGCGAACGUAUCAGUUCUUCAAGAAAUAAUAUUCAGAGUAUGAGACGGAAUUGAUUUGUAUAAAAAUAAGAAUUUAAUUCAUAACUUUCUUAUAUCAAAUAUUUUUAUUGGUUCUUUAAUAUAUAAUUAUUUUUAUUGAUCUUUUUUAUGAUCAUAAUUUCAAC